UAAUCAGUAAAAAAAUGUUCUUUGCCCACAGGGUGGAGUUCGUUUCUUUUGUUCCUGAGAGCUGAAUAGGAGAAAGGGACAUUUCAGCUUCUCUUGAUAAAGAUUAUAUCAUCUUACUUAAACUGUGAGACAAGAAUACUUCUUGAAAAUUACUAAUUCUACAGCUCUAAGGCACCACCAGUG
rnacentral:lncRNA from 1 species